rnacentral:rRNA from 1 species
UCGAGAAUCAUUCGCAAUGGGCGAAAGCCUGACGAUGCGACGCCGUGUGUGUGAUGAAGGCCUUCGGGUCGUAAAGCACUUUCGCUUGGGAACAAGAGAGGCAGGAUAAUACCCUGCUAAUUUGAGGGUACCAGGUAAAGAAGCACCGGCUAACUACGUGCCAGCAGCUGCGGUAAUACGUAGGGUGCAAGCGUUAAUCGGAAUUAUUGGGCGUAUAGGGCGUGUAGGCGGGCAAACAAGUCGGACGUGAAAUCCCAGAGCUCAACUCUGGAACAGCAUCCGAAACUGUUUAUCUAGAGGGUAGGCGGAGAAAACGGAAUUCCACAAGUAGCGGUGAAAUGCGUAGAUAUGUGGAAGAACACCCGUGGCGAAGGCGGUUUUCUAGCUUAUUCCUGACGCUGAGGCGCGAAAGCAAGGGGAUCAAACAGGAUUAGAUACCCCUGUAGUCC